GUGCCAGCCGCGCGGUAAUACCGGCAGCCCGAGUGAUGGCCGAUCUUAUUGGGCCUAAAGCGUCCGUAGCUGGCUGCGCAAGUCCGUCGGGAAAUCCACUCGCCCAACGAGUGGGCGUCCGACGGAAACUACACGGCUUGGGGCCGAGAGACUCGACGGGUACGUCCGGGGUAGGAGUGAAAUCCUGUAAUCCUGGACGGACCACCAAUGGGGAAACCACGUCGAGAGACCGGACCCGACAGUGAGGGACGAAAGCCAGGGUCUCGAACCGGAUUAGAAACCCCGGUAGUCC
rnacentral:rRNA from 1 species